rnacentral:rRNA from 1 species
GACGAACGCUGGCGGCGUGCUUAACACAUGCAAGUCGAACGAUGAAGCCGGAGCUUGCUCUGGUGAAUUAGUGGCGAACGGGUGAGUAACACGUGAGUAACCUGCCCUUGACUCUGGGAUAACUGCGGGAAACUGUAGCUAAUACCGGAUACGACCCUCGGAGGCAUCUCCUGGGGGUGGAAAGAAUUUCGGUCAAGGAUGGACUCGCGGCCUAUCAGCUAGUUGGUGAGGUAAAGGCUCACCAAGGCGACGACGGGUAGCCGGCCUGAGAGGGUGACCGGCCACACGGGGACUGAGACACGGCCCAGGAUCCUACGGGAGGCAGCAGUGGGGAAUAUUGCACAAUGGGCGCAAGCCUGAUGCAGCAACGCCGCGUGAGGGAUGACGGCCUUCGGGUUGUAAACCUCUUUUAGCAGGGAAGAAGCGAAAGUGACGGUACCUGCAGAAAAAGCACCGGCUAACUACGUGCCAGCCGCCGCAGUAA